UAGUUUGACUCCGUGGCUCGAAGGACGACGCUGGCGGUGUGCUUCACACAUGCAAGUCGAACGAGGUAGCAAUACCUAGUGGCGGACGGGUGAGUAACGCGUGGGAAUCUGCCUUUAGAUGGGGGAUAACGGGUCGAAAGACUCGCUAAUACCGCAUAUGACGAAAGUUGAAAGGAGUAAUCCGUCUAAAGAUGAGCCCGCGUCCGAUUAGCUAGUUGGUAGAGUAAAAGCCUACCAAGGCGACGAUCGGUAGCUGGUCUGAGAGGAUGAUCAGCCACAAUGGGACUGAGACACGGCCCAUACUCCUACGGGAGGCAGCAGUGGGGAAUUUUACGCAAUGGGCGAAAGCCUGACGUAGCGACACCGCGUGAGCGAAGAAGCCCCUUGGGGUGUAAAGCUCUGUCAGCUGGAACGAAAAAAUGACGGUACCAGCAGAGGAAGCAUCGGCUAACUACGUG
rnacentral:rRNA from 1 species